rnacentral:ncRNA from 1 species
AGCUGCUUAACCGUGCUUUUCAAGGGUUCAAUACGUAGCUGGUUAUUGCUUAAAUUAACAUCGCCGAUCGCGCUGACCUGUUCCCCGUCCAGCGGAAUGUUAAGAUGUAAGUGACCACCCACAUCACCACUGAUUUUGAGUUGAUUCAGUGCCGCGCCAAGCGUGUUUUUUAAUGGCGUCUGAUUAAAAUAAGUGCCGACAUCAGAGCCUUCACUCUGAAUAUCACCAUCAAUGAUCAGCCGUUCUUUAAGAUAAUCCGGGAUGACGGCUGAAAUGUUUCUGGCCUGCACAUUACCAAGUUUUGUCUGGUCAGCUUUCAUAAACAGCCCGUCAUUCACAAAAUCCAGGUUGAUAUCCAGGUUUUUCAGAUCGGGCCAGCCGGGCUGAAACUGAAAGGUCCCCUGCCUGAGAGGCACC